GGACGGGAAGCCGGUGGGAGAGGACGAUGGCCGAAGGGGGAGGAGGCGGCCCUAGCGCCAUUUUGUGGGAGCGAAGUGGUAGCUGGGCUGCUCUUGGAUUCCUCCCUGCUUCAGUCUCCCUGUCGGGCUUCCUAGCAGCGGCCUAGCGGAGAAACAAAGAUGUCUGAAUAUAUUCGGGUAACAGAAGAUGAGAAUGACGAGCCCAUUGAAAUACCAUCGGAAGACGAUGGGACAGUGCUGCUGUCCACGGUUACAGCCCAGUUUCCAGGGGCAUGUGGGCUGCGCUACCGGAAUCCAGUGUCUCAGUGUAUGAGAGGUGUUCGUCUGGUAGAAGGAAUUCUGCACGCCCCCGAUGCUGGCUGGGGGAAUCUGGUGUAUGUUGUCAACUAUCCCAAAGAUAACAAAAGAAAAAUGGAUGAAACAGAUGCUUCAUCAGCAGUGAAAGUGAAAAGAGCGGUCCAGAAAACGUCUGAUUUGAUAGUGUUGGGUCUCCCGUGGAAAACAACCGAACAGGAUCUGAAAGAUUACUUCAGUACCUUUGGAGAAGUUCUUAUGGUUCAGGUCAAGAAGGAUAUUAAAACUGGUCAUUCAAAAGGGUUUGGCUUUGUUCGCUUCACGGAAUAUGAAACCCAGGUGAAAGUAAUGUCACAACGACAUAUGAUAGAUGGACGAUGGUGUGACUGUAAGCUUCCAAAUUCUAAGCAAAGCCCAGAUGAGCCUUUGAGAAGCAGAAAGGUGUUUGUUGGGCGUUGUACAGAGGACAUGACUGCUGAUGAACUGCGGCAGUUCUUUUGCCAGUAUGGAGAAGUGGUAGAUGUCUUCAUCCCCAAACCGUUCAGGGCUUUUGCCUUUGUUACGUUUGCAGAUGAUCAGGUUGCCCAGUCUCUUUGUGGAGAGGACUUGAUCAUUAAAGGAAUCAGCGUACAUAUAUCCAAUGCUGAACCUAAGCACAAUAGCAAUAGACAGUUAGAAAGAAGUGGAAGAUUUGGUGGUAAUCCAGGUGGCUUUGGGAAUCAGGGUGGAUUUGGAAACAGUCGAGGGGGUGGAGCGGGUUUGGGAAACAAUCAGGGUAGUAAUAUGGGUGGAGGGAUGAACUUUGGUGCUUUUAGCAUUAACCCAGCAAUGAUGGCUGCAGCCCAGGCUGCUCUGCAGAGCAGCUGGGGUAUGAUGGGCAUGUUAGCCAGUCAGCAGAACCAGUCUGGCCCAUCAGGUAAUAACCAAAGCCAAGGCAACAUGCAGAGGGAGCCAAAUCAGGCUUUUGGUUCUGGAAAUAACUCUUACAGUGGUUCUAAUUCAGGUGCAGCAAUUGGUUGGGGAUCAGCAUCAAAUGCAGGGUCAGGCAGUGGUUUUAAUGGAGGCUUCGGCUCUAGCAUGGAUUCUAAAUCUUCUGGCUGGGGAAUGUAGACAUUGGGUUACGGUUAGUUGGUAUACUGGUGGGAAUUCAAAUUUUUCUAAACUCAUGGUAAGUAUAUUGUAAAAUAACAUAUGUAAGAAUUUUCAAAAUUGGUUUGUUCAGUGUGGAGUAUAUUCAGCAGUAUUUUUGACAUUUUUCUUUAGAAAAAGAGGAAGAGCUAAAGGAAUUUUAUAAGUUUUGUUACAUAAAGGGUUGAAAUAUUGAGUGUUUGAACGUGAACUGCUGUUUGCCUGAUUGGUAAACCAACACACUACAAUUGAUAUCAAAGGGUUUCUCCUGUAAUAUUUUAUCCCUGGACUUGCCAAGUGAAUUCUUUGCAUGUUCAAAAUGGAAACCAUUGAUUAGAACUACAUUCUUUUCUCCUUGUUUUAAUUUGAACCCCGCCAUAUGGAUUUUUUUUCCUUAGGAAAAUCUCCUCUUUGGAGAUCAUGGUGUCACAGUGCUUGGUUCUUUUUUUUGUUUUGUUUUUGUUUUUGUUUUAACACUUGUCUCCCUUCAUAUACAAAAGUACAAUAUGAAGCCUUCAUUUAAUCUCUGCAGUUCAUCUCAUUUCAAAUGUUUAUGGAAGAAGCACUUCAUUGAAAGUAGUGCUGUAAAUAUUCUGCCAUAGGAAUACUUCUGUCUACAUGCUUUCUCAUUCAAGAACUCGCCAUCACGCUGCGCAGGCUGCGUCUUUGACGUUUUUAAUAAGUCUGGGUGACCGCACCUAAAAUGGUAAGCAGUACCCUCCAGCUUUUUCUUAGUGCCUCUGUGCAUUUGGGUGAUGUUCUAUUUACAUGGCCUGUAUAAAUCUCCAUUGGGAAAUCAUCCUUCUAAAAAUAUUCUUAUUUGAAGGAGUGGGCAAAGCAAUGUUAAUUUAAAAUGCUUUGUAGCAAAGCCUAUCAAUUGAAAUGAAGGGAAUAUCAGCACCUUUCUAGUUGGGGAUUUGAAAAGUGGAAUUAAUUGCAAUAGGGAUAAAGUAGAAGAAACCACAAAUUAUCUUGUGCCUGAAAUCCAUUAAGAAGCCUGAUAGCUUUAAGAACUAGCAGGGUGGGUUGUCUGUCUGUGGAAGUGUUAAGUGAAAGGGGCUUUGUGUUCCAAAGGUGGGGAAAUAGAUUAAUGUUGAAUAAAUCUACAAGACUCAAGACUCUCACAGUGCAUUGUUAAGUAUGUAAAAGCAAUAAUAUAUUGAUUCUCUAUUGUACGUAAAAUGUAACUAACUUCUGUGAGAGCUCCUUUUCUAGCGGAAGAAUGUAACAGUUUUUGUGUUGAUAAUUUACCUAAUGCCCUUAUCUAAUUAGAUUAUGAUAAAUAGGUUUGUCAUUUUGCAAGUUAUGUGUUUUAAACUUAUAAAUGAAGUCGUCUUUUAGGCUUAUGGUCGCCACAUUGUUUUAUUCAGUUUCCUCUGUAAAGGAUCUUGCGUUGUUUUAUUUUUUUUUUUUCCUGCAUCUAAAUUGCAUGAUUUCCAAACCCUGUACCAUCUGAAUUUUGCAUUUUAGCACUUGCACUAUUACUCAGCAGCAGUAACAUGGUAACACUUAAAAUGGUAUUCGGGGACCUCCAAAGACUAAACUGACAAGCCUUCAAGAAGCCCAGGGUACGAGUGGAUAUUCCACACACUGGGGAAAGAAGCAGAUGUAUAGAGCCUUUACAGAAACCUGAUGGUGUUUUUCUCCAAUUAUUACCACUUUGAAGUUAUCAGUUACUCAUGUUUGAUGUCAGCCAAAGAUUGCAUCACACAAAUUGGUGUUUGUCCACCUAUACAGGCAAGUGAGUGUAGUAUAUGUUGUUUUACUGCUUAAAACAUUGUUCAAAGAUCUGAUAAAACCAUUUGGUGUUUCUUAGCUCCUCAGAAAAUGAGGUGAGUGAAAAUUAAUUUGUAGAAACUAAUUCAUUUUGCCAAAGUAACUUGGUCUUAGGACUGGGAAGUGUUCAGUAGGGCUAAUAGGAAUUGUCUGAGCUGGUAUGCGCAGGAAGUGAAUUGCAAAUGGAUAGUAGAAAAAGACACUGGACUUUGUUAAGUCCAUUGCUUCUAUUUUCCUGCUUGUAAAAUGGGGUAUCUACCAUGUAGUUCUGGGAAAGCAGAAACUAGGGUCAAUAUCAUAUGAUUUGCUUCUAUUUUCCUGCUUGUAAAAUGGGGUAUCUACCAUGUAGUUCUGGGAAAGCAGAAACUCGGGUCAAUAUCAUAGGAUUUGCAGACUACUUUCACCUUUGAACAUUUAAAUGUUUUAAAAAUAAGAAUGUUACAGCUGUAGCCAGGAACCUUCAGGUUCAGGAAUUAUUUCUGGUCUAGUUGUUCCUUCCAGACACUAGACUUUACUGUAUAUUGCUAACUAAAUAUACUUAUUAAUGUAGCAAAUAUGUUUCCUCUUGGGGCAGAAUACUCUUAUGAAAGCUUACAAACAUUGUGUCAACUGAGAAGACUAAAUAAACCCAGUAGCAGGGGUAAUGGAUAUAUUGUUACUUUUCUAACUUUUUUUCUUUUUGUCAACUAUAUCUUCAGAGCCAAUUCUGGUAAAAACUUUUUCUAAGUACUAUUAAAAGGCAAAUUGCAUUAAUGUUUAAAAACUAGAUGUCAUUGGAAACAAUUGCUUAGGGAAAUAAUGAGGUUAUUAGCUUUGGGUUAUAGCUUUGGUAAUAGCAUUUCUAUAGAGAAGAAAUGUAACAGAAGAACUCAUGUUUAUAAAUGUAUAAAUGGUUCAAGAUAAUUUUAAGUAUUAUUUAAUUUUUUAUGCUUGCCUAGUUGUAAGGUCAAAAAUAAUCAAAUGACUGAUGCAGUCAGCACCUAACAAACCUCUCCAUAUGGAAAGGGGUAAUGAGAACAUACUAUUUGGAAAUAAUAAGUUGGUCUAAGAGCCAAGUGCUGAAGUUACAUUUCUGCCUACACAGCUAAAGCGCUACUUACUGUCUCCUACCCAGUUCUACUUUCCAUCAAUUACAAAUCUCUUGUAUAAAUGUAUCCAUUACCAGGCUCACAGACUGGGAGUGAUUUUUCUCCUUUGGAGCUCGUCCAGAAUCCAUCAGCCUCACACACAUAUUCACCUGCAAAUCAUUGGAAAAACAAAAAUGUUUAACUGCAUGUAAACGGUGUUUGUCAUUUGCUUGAAUACCCCCUUGAAAAAUGUUGAUUCUUGAGCAUCAGUGGGAAAUAGAGGUGUCUGAAUAACCGUUUUACUUGAUUUCAUAAAUAGGAGGUCUCUGCAUUACCAUGUUUGCUUGCAAAGUGGAAACCUUUUAGAUGUGUAACUUGAAUAUGUAUCAAGAUCUCAAGUGCUUAAUGAUAAGGUUUUGACUUGUUAAAUUAAACCAUUUGGAAUAUA